UACGGGGGGGGCAAGCGUUGUUCGGAAUUACUGGGCGUAAAGGGCUCGUAGGUGGCCAAUUAAGUCAGGCGUGAAAUCCCCAGGCUCAACUUGGGAACUGCGUCUGAUACUGGUUGGCUUGAAUUCGGGAGAGGGAUGCAGAAUUCCAGGUGUAGCGGUGAAAUGCGUAGAUAUCUGGAGGAAUACCGGUGGCGAAGGCGGCACGCUGGGCCAUAACUGACGCUAAGACGCGAAAGCAUGGGUAGCGAACGGG
rnacentral:rRNA from 1 species